AGCGAACGCUGGCGGCAGGCCUAACACAUGCAAGUCGAACGGCAGCACCGUAAGAGCCUGCUCUUACGGGUGGCGAGUGGCGGACGGGUGAGGAAUAUACCGGAAUCUACCUUUUCGUGGGGGAUAAUGCAGGGAAACUUACGCUAAUACCGCAUACGACCUACGGGUGAAAGCAGGGGAUCUUUGGACCUUGCGCGAUUGAAUGAGCCGAUGUCGGAUUAGCUAGUUGGCGGGGUAAAGGCCCACCAAGGCGACGAUCCGUAGCUGGUCUGAGAGGAUGAUCAGCCACACUGUAACUGAGACUGAGUCCAGACUCCGGCAGGAAGCAGCAGUGGGGAAUAUUAGGCGAUGGGCGCGAGGCUAAUCCAGCCAUACCGCGUGGGUGAAGAUGGCGUUCGGGUUGGAGAGCCCUUAUGUUGGGAGAGAAGAGCAGCAGGUUAAGACGCCGCUGUACUGACGGUACCCGAAGAAGAAGCACCGGCUAACUUCGUG
rnacentral:rRNA from 1 species